UCAUCUCCAAGUGAUGCUCCCUCUGUACUUUCCCACAACUCCACUGAAGUCUGCAACUUUUUGGUGGAAAUGCGCGACAAUUGAUAGUAGCAAUGGUCAAGAGUCAUGGCUGUGACGCAUGCAUGACAUGAGGAGGAAGGCAGGCACCAGGCAGGCAGCCAUCACAGACGGAUUUGUGUGGUAGCAGCACUAAGAAGAUCCACUAUAGGGGCGGC
rnacentral:lncRNA from 1 species